rnacentral:rRNA from 1 species
CCUACGGGGGGCAGCAGUGAGGAAUAUUGGUCAAUGGGCUUACGCCUGAACCAGCCAAGUCGCGUGAGCGAUGAAGGUCUUCGGAUUGUAAAGCUCUUUAAGCGGGGACGAAGAAAGUGACUGUACCCGCAGAAUAAGCCUCGGCUAACUACGUGCCAGCAGCCGCGGUAAUACGUAGGAGGCAAGCGUUAUCCGGAAUGACUGGGCGUAAAGGGUGCGUAGGUGGUUUGGCAAGUUGGUAGCGUAAUCCCGGGGCUCAACCUCGGUGCUACUACCAAAACUGUUGAACUUGAGUGCAGGAGGGGUGAAUGGAAUUCCCAGUGUAGCGGUGGAAUGCGUAGAUAUUGGGAAGAACACCAGCGGCGAAGGCGAUUCACUGGACUGUAACUGACACUGAGGCACGAAAGCGUGGGGAGCAAACAGGAUUAGAUACCCUUGUAGUC